CCUACGGGUGGCUGCAGUGGGGAAUAUUGGACAAUGGGCGAAAGCCUGAUCCAGCCAUGCCGCGUGUGUGAAGAAGGCCUUCGGGUUGUAAAGCACUUUCAGUGGGGAAGAAAGCCUUGGGGCUAAUACCCACGAGGAAGGACAUCACCCACAGAAGAAGCACCGGCUAACUCCGUGGCCAGCAGCCGCGGUAAUACGGAGGGUGCGAGCGUUAAUCGGAAUUACUGGGCGUAAAGCGCGCGUAGGCGGUCUGAUAAGCCGGUUGUGAAAGCCCCGGGCUCAACCUGGGAACGGCAUCCGGAACUGUCAGGCUAGAGUGCAGGAGAGGAAGGUAGAAUUCCCGGUGUAGCGGUGAAAUGCGUAGAGAUCGGGAGGAAUACCAGUGGCGAAGGCGGCCUUCUGGACUGACACUGACGCUGAGGUGCGAAAGCGUGGGUAGCAAACAGGAUUAGAUACCCCAGUAGU
rnacentral:rRNA from 1 species